AACGAAUUUUUUAAAAAGUUUUUUUUUUUUUUUUUUUUUUUAGCCAGUUUAACAUAUCAUCUACACGUAAAAUGAUAUGAAUAAGUACAUAUAUAACUACUUAAAUAAGCAUAGGUAUACGUGCAUAUAAACUACUUAUAUAGACAUACACGUUUUAUAACAUGGACAAAAUUAGGAAUAACGAAGGAGAUAUAAACUCUGAUGACCUCGAUGGUACAGCAGAAGAUUGCAUCUACACAUUCAGUCCGUUGAAAAAAGCAAAAAAAAUGCCUUCCAACAAGUCAGAACAAAAAAACAGUAACUUUAUCAAUAAAAGCCAAACGCUGACAAAUGCUAACACAUACGAUAUAAGUUUUAGUUAUGAAGAAAAAGACCAUGAUAAGGGUAAUUCUGUGAAUUCACCUGUGAGUAUAUCUACGGAUACAAAUGAUACUGUUAAUGUCUAUAUAAAUUCGAACUCAGAUAAUAGCCCCGCUCCAAAAAGAUUGAAACUUUCAGGUUUACCAAAGAAUACCGAUAGCGACUUACAAGGCAGUAAAGUAAGUGAAUGCGGAAGCGAAACAGAGACUGACGAUAAUUUUGAUGAAGAGGACGAUGGUGGUAGCGGUGUAGACGAUGUUGGUAGCGGUACAGACGAUGGUGGUAGCGGGGGAGACGAUGGUGGUAAUAUCAGUGACAAUUUUAGUAAAAAAGAUAAUAGUUCAUACAAAAGUAAGAAUAAAAAACAGAAUGUGGAAAAUGUGGAAAGUGUGGAAAAUGUGGGAAAUGUGGAAAGUGUGGAAAAUGUGGAAAGUGUGGAAAGUGUGGAAAGUGUGGAAAGUGUGGAAAGUGUGGAAAGUGUGGAAAGUGUGGAAAGUGUGGAAAGUGUGGAAAGUGUGGAAAGUGUGAAAAGUGUGGAAAGUGUGAAAAGUGUGAAAAGUGUGAAAAGUGUGAAAAGUGUGGAAAUUGCGCAAAAUAUGCAAAAUGACGAAAACGACCUGAACAGUUCAGGUGAAGAUACGAACGAAAAUGCAAACAUUCCGGAAUACACCCUACAAAACCUGAACAGUUCAGAUACAGACACAGAUACAGACGGAAAUAUAAACAGCUCAGAAAAUAUAACUGAUGCGGAAGAAGAAGAAGAAGAUGAUGAUAACAAUGUGAAUAACGAACAUGAAGGAAAUAGAAAAGUGAGUUUAUAUGAUGAAGAGCUGAGUGAAAUAUUAAAUGAAAAAUAUUUUAAAGAAUUAAUCCCUUCCAUACCACACAACAUAUUACCUGCUUAUAUAUCUUGUUUAAAAAUAUGUGGUUUUGAAAGGGAAGUACAAUUACAUAGACUUAUAAAUUUGCUUGGCGAUUUAAGAGAUCCUAUUUCUGUAAUACAGAUGUUAGGUUUACCCGGUAUGGGUAAAACAAAAGUAGUAAAAAAUUUUAUAAAACAAUUGAAGGUUCCAUAUGCUUAUGUUAAUUGUUUAAUGGCUGUCUAUCAGUCAGGUAAAUCUGCAAAAAAUGUAAUUUAUCACACAAUAUUAAAAGAUUUAAGUAUUAGUCUUUUCAAAGAAUUUAAUGAGUAUAAAAAACUGAAUAACAUUACAAAUUAUACAUACAACCCAAUUAAGUUAGUACCAAAUCAUGUAUCUAAUACGGAUGUUUUUUUUAGUACAUUAUAUAAAUUGUUGUCUUUUAAACCUAGAAACGAGCACCUUGUAAAAAAGAAAGGGAAUGUUAAAAAAGGGGGCACUACCACUACUACUACUACUACCAGUAGUAGUAGUAGUAGUAAUAAUAAGGAUGAAAAUAAGAAAAAAGAAGAAAUUAAAAAAGAUGAGUAUAACAAUAAAGAUAAUAAUGAUUACUCCAGUUAUAGUAGCGAUGUAGAUAAUCAUAGUGAAGAAAAUUGCUAUGAAUCGAACAAAACGAAUAUGAGCUAUAAUAAAGACACUUUAUAUGAUAGAUCUGUCGUUUUUAUAUUAGACAACAUUAGAUACCUAGUUCGAACGCAUCCUGACUUAUUUUAUGCUCUAACAAGAAUACAUGAAUAUAUAAAAGGACCAUAUAAUGAUUUGACAAAAGCUAAUAAACCUACAAGAGGAUUAUGUGUAAUUUUAAUUAAUAGGUCGCCUUUACCAGAUGAAAUUUUUGAUGGAUUACCACAACCACCAACCGUGUGGUUCGAUUCAUAUACAGCUGACAUGUGUAAAAAUAUACUUUAUAGAUAUUACGAUACAAUGUGUUUUGAAUCUUUACUAACACAUAAUGAUAAAGAUUUAAAAAUAUAUACAGUGAAAACAAAAAAAAAAGAAUUCUUAAUAAAAAAAAAAGAUAUCGUUUUGGAAAAUGAUGUAAUUUAUGACUUAUGGUGUAGAUAUGUUGAUUAUAUUAUUAACGUUUCAUAUAAAGAUUAUAAAAGCGAUUUCAACGAGUUAUUAUUUAUAUGUUCAAAUAUGUGGCCAUUAUUCAUUAAACCUAUUUUAGAUGGUACUUUAGAACCUAUUGUAGAAAAUAUGAAUGCAUUACAAAGAAAUGUAGAUACUCAUAUAAGAGUUGCUACUUUUAAUCAUGCAAGUCAUUUUACAUAUGAACUAAUCGAUUCAGUUUUUAUGAAAGAAGUUAAUUUAAAAAAUAAAAUAGAUAUAUCAUUUUAUUCAAAAAUUUUAUUAAUAGGUGCUUAUUUAGCUUCUAGAAAUGUACCACUAACAGACAAACGUUUUUUUAAUGCUACUGUAAAAGGUGGUGCUUUUACAAUACCAAAAAAAAAAAAAAGUAAAAAUAAAAAUGAAUCCAUUUUAACAUUAAUUGGUCAGGCAAUACCCAAAAAUUUUACUUUUAUUAGAUGGUUAUGUUUAACCGAUUGUUUGUUGGUAUGUUUUUUUGAUGAACAACUCGUACUAAACAGUUUAAUAUGUAAACAAAUAAACACGUUAAUACAAUUGGGUUUUAUAACUUUUACUUCAGCUAAUAAUAUGUCCAGCUUAGUGAGAAAUAGCUUGAUGAAUGGUGUGCAAUGGAGUGGUUAUUGUGGUACUGCUCUCCUGAACACAACAAACAAUUAUGCUUCUCUAAACAAUAACAUCUUUUUCGACACUAGCAAUACAAUGCCUUAUGAAUCGUUAGAUCCAUAUACUAAGCUUGGCAUUCAGGUGCCCGAGGAGGUGAUUCGAAACAUAUCGAAGGAAAUGAAAAUACCGCUAGACGAGUUGAUAUUAUGAUGGAAGGCGCACAGCAUAACGAUAGGUAGUAAAAAAAAAACAAAAAAAAACAAAAAAAAAUAAAAAAAAAUAAAAAAAAU
ensembl:lncRNA